rnacentral:rRNA from 1 species
AGAGUUUGAUCCUGGCUCAGGAUGAACGCUWKCGKCAGGCCUAAUACAUGCAAGUCGAGGGGUAUCCCGCUUUCGGGCGGGAGAGACCGGCGCACGGGUGCGUAACGCGUAUGCAACCUGCCCUUUUCUGGGGGAUAGCCCGGAGAAAUCCGGAUUAAUACCGCAUAAGACCACGCUAUGGCAUCAUAGAGGGGUCAAACAUUUAUGGGAAAAGGAUGGGCAUGCGUGCCAUUAGCUAGUUGGCGGGGUAACGGCCCACCAAGGCGACGAUGGCUAGGGGAUCUGAGAGGAUGGCCCCCCACACUGGUACUGAGACACGGACCAGACUCCUACGGGAGGCAGCAGUAAGGAAUAUUGGUCAAUGGGGGCAACCCUGAACCAGCCAUGCCGCGUGCAGGAAGACGGCCCUACGGGUUGUAAACUGCUUUUGCACGGGAACAAACCUCCCCCUGCGGGGGGAGCUGAGGGUACCGUGAGAAUAAGGAUCGGCUAACUCCGUGCCAGCAGCCGCGGUAAUACGGAGGAUCCGAGCGUUAUCCGGAUUUAUUGGGUUUAAAGGGAGCGUAGGCGGCCCUCUAAGUCAGGGGUGAAAGACGGCAGCUCAACUGUCGCAGUGCCCUUGAUACUGGGGGGCUUGAAUGCACCUGAGGCAGGCGGAAUGUGGCAAGUAGCGGUGAAAUGCAUAGAUAUGCCACAGAACACCGAUUGCGAAGGCAGCUUGCUAAAGUGCUAUUGACGCUGAGGCUCGAAAGCGUGGGGAUCGAACAGGAUUAGAUACCCUGGUAGUCCACGCCCUAAACGAUGAUGACUCGGUGCCGGCGAUAUACUGCCGGCGCCCAAGCGAAAGCGUUAAGUCAUCCACCUGGGGAGUACGCCCGCAAGGGUGAAACUCAAAGGAAUUGACGGGGGCCCGCACAAGCGGAGGAGCAUGUGGUUUAAUUCGAUGAUACGCGAGGAACCUUACCCGGGCUUGAAAGUUACUGAAUGGCCUAGAGAUAGGCCAGUCCUUCGGGACAGGAAACUAGGUGCUGCAUGGCUGUCGUCAGCUCGUGCCGUGAGGUGUUGGGUUAAGUCCCGCAACGAGCGCAACCCCUAUGUUUAGUUGCCAGCACGUKAAGGUGGGGACUCUAAACAGACUGCCCGCGCAAGCGGAGAGGAAGGCGGGGACGACGUCAAGUCAUCAUGGCCCUUACGUCCGGGGCUACACACGUGCUACAAUGGGCGGCACAGAGGGCAGCCACCCCGCAAGGGGGCGCCAAUCCCGCAAAGCCGCUCACAGUUCGGAUCGGGGCCUGCAACUCGGCCCCGUGAAGUUGGAUUCGCUAGUAAUCGCGUAUCAGCAAUGACGCGGUGAAUACGUUCCCGGGCCUUGUACACACCGCCCGUCAAGCCAUGGAAGCCGGGGGCGCCUAAAGUCCGUAGCCGCAAGGAUCGGCCUAGGGCGAAACUGGUAWCUAGGGCUAAGUCGUAACAAGGUAACC